UCGCCCAGCGGUGGACAUGUGGUUUAUUCGAAGCACGCGAAGAACCUUACCAGGUCUUGACAUCCUCAGACAACCCAUGAGAAUGGGCUUCUCCUUCGGGAGCAGAGUGACAGGUGGUGCAUGGUUGUCGUCAGCUCGUGUCGUGAGAUGUUGGGUUAAGUCCCGCAACGAGCGCAACCCUUUGUCUUUGUUGCCAUCAUUUAGUUGGGCACUCCAAGGUGACUGCCGGGUGCAAACCGGAGGAAGGUGGGGAGUGCGUCAAAUCAUCAUGCCCCUUAUGACCUGGGCUACACACGUGCUACAAUGGACGGUACAAAGAGCUGCAAGACCGCGAGGUGGAGCUAAUCUCAUAAAACCGUUCUCACUUCGGAUUGUAGGCUGCAACUCGCCUACACGAAGCUGGAAUCGCGUAAAAUCAAUCAGCAUGCCGCGGUUAAUACGUUCCCGGGCCUUGUAUACAACGGCCGUAUUG
rnacentral:rRNA from 1 species